CAUGUCAUUCCUAGCCGUGGAGAGUGAGACAGGAACAGGGAAUGAGUCCAGGCAAUAUGAGGUGUGGUUCUCUAUAGAGGUCAUAUGUGAUCCUGCUCCUCCCCUGAAGGUGCUGGCUGUGGACUGUGCUGUUCAGAGCUCUGUUGCCGUGGAGAUCCCCCUUAGUAAUCCGGAGGCGGAGCCGCUGAGCUGUGGGUGUGUCUGGAGGGAGAGGACCUGAGUGGAGACACCCUGGUGUGUGUCCCUCCCCAGAGCAGUCUCAACUACACAGUCACCUUCUCUCCUGCUAUAGUAGGGAAGAGAACAGACAGUGUGGUCUUCCAGUCGGAGCUGGUGGGAGAGUUCUGGUACCAACUGGACCUGCUGGCCCAACCUCCUGUCCUCACCACCUUACCACAGAGCAGCUGUGAACUGGGAAAGUGGACCAGGCUGUACAUCCCACUGGUCAACCCCACAGACGAGACACUGGAGCUGGGGAUGGUCAACAGCAACCCUCGCAAUUUCACCCUGGAGCUGGACACCAGCAGACCACUCAUCAUAGCACCACACUCGUCCACCCAGAUUCCUGUCCGUUUCAGCCCAUCAACCAUCGGAGCUGGAAACCACACAGCCAAGAUCUCCUUCACCUGC